UCUAUCCGUUUUGGCCUGUGCUUCUUCGGUGAAACUUCGUCGUGUAUUCAAGGUUAUUUUGAAUGGACAGCUUUGUCGCUGAUAAGCUAACUGACUGGCGGCUGUCUGAGCUGACAGAGAAUUUUAGAGGCCAUCCACAAACAUAAAAGAGGCCCUGGCGCUAUCAUUGGUUCAGACAUUCCCUGAAUGAUGGAUCAGAAAUUGGCUAUUUCCAGAGACUCCAGAAUGAAAACCAAGCUCUGAGGGAGGAGAACCACACCCUGAGGGAAAGCAAUGCACGAGCAGCGGCUCACUUCAAGAGCAGGUGAAGCAAGUU